rnacentral:rRNA from 1 species
GUGCACGCUGGCGGUAGGCCUAACACAUGCCAGUCGAACGGCAGCACAGUAAGAGCUUGCUCUUACGGGUGGCGAGUGGCGGACGGGUGAGGAAUACAUCGGAAUCUACUUUUUCGUGGGGGAUAACGUAGGGAAACUUACGCUAAUACCGCAUACGACCUACGGGUGAAAGCCGGGGAUCUUCGGACCUUGCGCGAUUGAAUGAGCCGAUGUCGGAUUAGCUAGUUGGCGGGGUAAAGGCCCACCAAGGCGACGAUCCGUAGCUGGUCUGAGAGGAUGAUCAGCCACACUGGAACUGAGACACGGUCCAGACUCCUACGGGAGGCAGCAGUGGGGAAUAUUGGACAAUGGGCGCAAGCCUGAUCCAGCCAUACCGCGUGGGUGAAGAAGGCCUUCGGGUUGUAAAGCCCUUUUGUUGGGAAAGAAAAGCAGCAGGUUAAUACCCCGCUGUUCUGACGGUACCCAAAGAAUAAGCACCGGCUAACUUCGUG